ACACUUACACAUCAUCAUGAGACUUGUGAGCUGGGAGGGACUGGGAAAUCAGUCACAUCAACCCCUUCCUGUUACAGUGAAGGGCCUGGAGAUGGGACGAUUUGGCCAAAGGCACACGGCAAAUUAAAAGGAACUCGAUCUCUUGCUGCCUUUCAUUAUAGCUGCUCAGCUUAGAAGGACUUUAAAGACUAAAUUAGUCCAACCCUCCAAAAAUUCAUGUCUCUUUUACAAACAGACCACCUUCUGUGUUUGAGUCUGGGAGCCCUAAGGGGGCCUGCCCAUCUUUAAGGAGUUUUUGUUGUUGUUUUUGAGGUCUGUGGGCACAUGGAAAUUCCCAGGCUAGAGGUUGAAUCAAAGCUACAGCUGCCGACCCACACCACAGCCACAGUAAUGCCAGAUCCAAGCUGCAUCUGUGACCUACACUGCAGCUUGUGGCAACGCCGAAUCCCCAAGCCGCUGAGCAAGUCCAGGGAUCGAACCUGCAUCCACAUGGAUAUAGCUGGGUUCUUAACCUGCUGAGCUACAAUGGGAAGCCCUGGUUUAAAUUAUUUAACAUGAUCGGGAUAAAACCAGACAUUAAAAGUCUUGAUCCGAGCUCUGGACCUGGGCACGAGGAAUAAGUCAAGGUUGUCAGAGGCAUGGGAGCCGUCAGGCCAUGCCAGCCACGCAGGCCCAGACCAAAAGCCAAGUUUUACCAGAAGACUCAAGUUUAACCAAAUCCAGCCACAAAUAGCAAUGCUCACGCCUUCCUGUUAAAUAUCAGUGAUUAAUAAAUUCAUUCACUUGUGUGUUAAAGAGGAGACAGGCCCCCUCCAGGGAUAAUUAUUUCUAUGUUACAUUGAAAUAAAUGAUCAGUUCUAAACCUAUGGAACCCUGGUGCUGCGUCUGAGUUCUGAGAAUUUGGUAAUUAUUUUCUGUCUCCUCUCCUAUAAUUGUUAACCUUUUUCUUGUCUUCUGAGAUGAAAUUUUAUCCAACACAUAGAGUAAGCUUUCAAGAGACAUUCAGCGUCCACAGUUGGAAUUUCGGCAGGCAUGGGAGAGGACCGGCACUAGGGAAGAAAAUGAAUAAAGGAGAAAAGGGGAGAGGGAAAACCGCAGCUUUUAACAUUUCAAGGAUUGCCCACUUUCUCUGGGGGAGUCGAGGGAGGCAGCUCCUGUUUCUCCAAGGCAGUGUGUGGCAUUACCACGUGUGACCAGCAGAGGGCGGCUUCUCCUCGUUUAAGGCAGAGAGCUCGGCACCUGGAGCUGCUGUUUUCCGGAGGAAGCAGAUUUAAAAGAGCUUGGCUAAGCAGAGAUCGUACCACCACCAACUGCAAACACAUCUCUUAGCCUUUGCCUCUGUUGAAAAGGCAAGAAAAGGCUGGUGAAGAAACAAACGGCUUGUCAAGGUCAUCAGCACACACGCACCUUCAUCAUCCGGCUCUGGCUGAAUCAAGCUCAGGGCAGACUGAGGUUUGGAGGUGGGGCUCGGUGUAAAGGACCGCAGGGAGGGUCCAGACCCGCCCUGAUCGAGGGAGAUCGGUGUUUGGGAGGGGGUCCGAGGUCCAAGGACGAGCAAGAGUUGCCCAGAGGCUGAUCAGAGAGCCUUGUGUGUGUGUGUGUGUGGGGGAUCGAGUCCCCUGCCCCUCCCUGGGUGAGCCAGGCUAGGGCGGGACCCCUGUGACCUCUCCUCCCAGCCCCACCCCCACCAGGCUCCCCUCCCAUCCCUUCCCCUGGAUUUCUGCUUUUCCCUGACUGUCCCCCUCAAGUCCUCGCUGCCACCAGAGCCUUUUUAAUAGAGCAGUAGGUGGGGCUUCCUGGGUACCCUUCCCUCCUCUGUCCUUCUGUCCUGUAGUUUCUUUCCACUCGGCGGUGUUUGCCAUCCACUCCUGAAGCUGAUGGGCAUGGUAUGUGUGACUGUCCCCAGUCCAGGCCACAGCCCAGCCAGAGGGGGCUGUCUGGUUGGGGGGGGGGGCGGCGUCUGUGUCCUGAAUGUCCCGGGAUCCCUGGGACUUCUGGAAACCAAAGAGGUCCAUUAACUUCCUCAGCAGCAAGGGAUGCAGCUGGACUCAGACCUUUUCUCAGCUUCAGAUCUCACCACCCGAUUCCAUCGCUGGUGGAUGACUUAUAUAGUGUCUUAGGUUGACUUGUCCUUUUGUAACUAAACCACCAAAGGAAGAGUGGGGGCAAAAGAGGAAGUGGUACCAGGGUUAUUAUGAAGCCAGGACUCUAAAACUAGCUUCUGUAAAGAGCAGCAGACUCGAUUGUGGUUUCUGUUUAUCUUGCAGAAGCCGCAGCGAAUGACCCUGGGGGUAGGGCUUCUGCAGCACCUCAGGUUCCCCCGGGGAACCUCAGCAGCAGCAGAGAGGGCUAAAGGUCAAAGGUCACACGGCAAGGCUAUUUUAAAAUAGUGAUCACAGAUACUUCAGUGACCGCCCCAGGAAACCAGUCACUGCCUCCCCCCCUCCCCUUCAGAUCUUACUGAAAUAGGAAGAGUUUCCGCAGCAUUUCUAGGUGCCACCUCCUGUGCUUUGUGCUUUACUGGUAUCAUUUUAUUGAAUCGCCACAACUCGGUAUGAUUCCCCACUUUACAGCCUAAGAAACGAAGGCUUUACGAGGUUAAGUACCUUCCCAAGAUGUGCACGGCUGGCACGUUGCAGAAGCUGCAUUUAAACCCGGAUUUAAGUGUCUUCCCGCCGUGGUCUGAAAAAAACCUUGCCCGCUUCAGCUGGAAAGCCACGGUUCAGUGAAAACGAAUGCGCGCCCGGCCAAGCAGAAACAGUGGCCUCAUCCGCAGGGUCCUCAAGCCUGAAAGUGGCUCCUGGACGAAGACACCCGCCAUCCCUGAGACACGGUUUGGCUCCCUGGAGAAGAAGGCCCUGGACAGCGUGUUCCCGCAGAGGCAGAACUGAGCAUCCAUUCCACGCUGGGAGCAGCAGCGCGCUAGCCAAGCCCUUCCUCUGAUGAACUCCUGUUCUAGAAGCACGGCAGUAAUGAGUGAGUGGGAGUGAAUGAGGGGGAGAAACCCAGAAAUGCUGUGCCGACAGGCGAGGGACAACACGGGGGCCGGGGCAGCCCGGGUGGGGUGGUGCGGCUCGGCCUUGCGCCUGUAGCGCUGCACCUGCAUUUAUGGUUCACGACCUCACUCAAGAGGGAUCAGCUAUUUACUGUCUGGGACAGGUCCUUCCCGGCCAAGGGACCAGCAACCAGCAAAGACCCCCAGGUGGGGACAGACCUGAAACUUAACUGAAAAAUAGUUAAUGUGUUUAAAAAGCCAUGGGCUGGGCGAUGGAAGAACUGACCUGAUUGGAGAGACGGUGAGCCUGGAACAGGCUG
ensembl:lncRNA